UGCCGGUCAGCCGAUUGCUGG
rnacentral:misc_RNA from 1 species